UACGUAGGGUGCGAGCGUUAAUCGGAUUUACUGGGCGUAAAGCGUGCGCAGGCGGCCCGUUAAGACAGGUGUGAAAUCCCUGGGCUCAACCUAGGAAUUGCGCUUGUGACUGGCGGGCUCGAGUACGGUAGAGGGAGGCGGAAUUCCCGGUGUAGCGGUGAAAUGCGUAGAUAUCGGGAGGAAGGCCGGUGGCGAAGGCGGCCUCCUGGGCCUGCACUGACGCUGAGGCGCGAAAGCGUGGGGAGCAAACAGG
rnacentral:rRNA from 1 species